AUUGAACGCUGGCGGCAUGCCUAACACAUGCAAGUCGAGCGGAGCGGCGGACGGGCGAGUAAUGCUUAGGAAUCUGCCUAUUCGUGGUGGACAACAUUUCGAAAGGGAUGCUACUACCGCAUCCUAAUAGAUGAGCCUCAGUCGGAUUAGCUAGGUGGUGGGGUAAAGGCCUACCAAGGCAACGAUCCGUAGCUGGUCUGAGAGGACGAUCAGGCACAAUGGAACUGAGACACGGUCCAGACUCCUACGGGAGGCAGCAGUGGGGAAUUUUGGACAAGGGGAGAACGCCUGAUCCAGCCAUGCCGCGUGUGUGAUGAAGGUCUUCGGAUUGUAAAGCACUUUUAGCAGAGAAGCGUUAUCAGCAGAAUAAGCACCGGCUAACUACGUGCCAGCAGCCGCGGUAAUUC
rnacentral:rRNA from 1 species